ACGGUAACAUCAAUUUGAAACAACAGUUCCCGUCCAAUCACCAAAGUUAAGUAACGUCAAAUCUGGUCAGUACUUAGAUGGGUAACCGUAUGGGAAUACCAGGUGCUGUG